rnacentral:rRNA from 1 species
UAAGCCUGUGAAGGUGUGUCGUGAGGCAUGCUGGAGGUAUCAGAAGUGCGAAUGCUGACAUAAGUAACGAUAAAGCGGGUGAAAAGCCCGCUCGCCGGAAGACCAAGGGUUCCUGUCCAACGUUAAUCGGGGCAGGGUGAGUCGACCCCUAAGGCGAGGCCGAAAGGCGUAGUCGAUGGGAAACGGGUUAAUAUUCCCGUACUUGGUGUUACUGCGAAGGGGGGACGGAGAAGGCUAUGUUGGCCGGGCGACGGUUGUCCCGGUUUAAGCGUGUAGGUGUGUGUUCCAGGUAAAUCCGGUUCACUUUAACACUGAGGCGUGACGACGAGGCACUACGGUGCUGAAGCAACAAAUGCCCUGCUUCCAGGAAAAGCCUCUAAGCAUCAGGUAACAUCAAAUCGUACCCCAAACCGACACAGGUGGUCAGGUAGAGAAUACCAAGGCGCUUGAGAGAACUCGGGUGAAGGAACUAGGCAAAAUGGUGCCGUAACUUCGGGAGAAGGCACGCUGACACGUAGGUGAAGUGAUUUACUCAUGGAGCUGAAGUCAGUCGAAGAUACCAGCUGGCUGCAACUGUUUAUUAAAAACACAGCACUGUGCAAAC